UCUUACCAAUCUUAAAAGCCACCACUCCAGCAUAUAUUUGUCAUUUUCUUUUUGGGAGAUCUUACAGAUUGCUUAUCUAGAAAAAGAUAGAUCUUGCCAGUUCAUUUCUGGACACCUGUAUGCAGAAGCUGUGGGCAUGUGUGGAUCAGUCCUUGGAACAUUUUUUAUAUUCUGGCACGGACUGCGGAUUAACUUGGAUUUCCAGCUGAUUUAUUCAAUAUUCCGAGUCCAAUCAAAUCAUUUCUUUUUGCUAACAUGUAGUGCUUCGGGUCUAUAUCCUUCCAACAUAAAUUACACACACACACACAAACACAAUCAACUUGAUAUAAUCGGAUUCAUGAGCUUAGUUAGUAGCCCAUAUGAUCUCAGAAGUUACCUCCAAACCAAAGAAUCAUCUUCUCGGGUUAAUCAAUUAUCUAACCCCUCCUUCAACUCCAUCUCUCUCUGUAUAUAUACCCUUUCCUCUCUUCCUCCGUAUCUUCACAGCAAAUUCACACACACACAGUUUCUUGUGAUCCUGCUCGUUUUCAGUCUGUAUUUUUUUUUCUCAUUUUAACGUGCUCCAACAAUUGAAGUCUAAGUUAUGUAUAUGUCGAGAAUAUUGAAGAGCUGUGAUGCUGUUGUUGGUCAUCAGUUUGUGAGUUGCAUCUGCUUUUACCUUUCGUUCUUUAUCUUUUUUUUUGGGCCUUUGGUUUAACCACUAGUGGGUCUAUCCUAUUUAGCUCCACAAUGAUUAAUUCAGGUGGAUUUAUUAAUUUGCCUUAAUUACCGGGCCAUUCAUAUUCAUUCAUUUUCUUUACUCUUACUUCAUGGGUUGUUUCCUUCUAGGGUUAGGGUUGGUCCGUUCAUGCUCGUGAAAGAUCUGAUCAAGAUUGUCAGUCUAUAUUGGCCGAUGCGGCAGCAUCAAGAUUCACAAACUUUAAGGCAUGAGUUGGGGGUGGUACACGGUCACCUCCUUUACUCGAAAGGUUCCUUUCUGAUGGGAAUCUUGAUGAUGCUGCAUCGGCAAAUAUAUGACUAUUCUUCUUAAUUUACUGUUGCAUACCAAACAUGUACAACGAGUUCAGCAAUUUGAUCAAAGGUGGAGUGUAAGUUAAUUAUCUAACCAAAACCAUGAAGGUGGCUCGCCUUUGGUCUCCUCAUGCGCUUAAUGAACUUGUCUGAUUUAUCGGGGAAAAAGAAGAACAAUGACUACAAUUAUUGUCUAUUUUAGAGAUCAUUUAGCUCUUAUGGUUGUGGUGCUAAGUACAGAUGAGUGAGUUUUCAAUCUCCAGAGAUAUUACAACGAAGGAAGGGAAUAGGAAAAGCAAGUUAAGGAACGUACCGUGUAUAUGCUUAGUUUUGUUUUAUUUGUACUUGUUGAUGGAAAAUGUAAACCUAGAUUCAUUGCUAAAGAUCAAUGGUAACAUAGA